ACAGCAGUAGCCGCGGGAAAACGGAGGGUGCAAGCGUUAAUCGGAAUUACUGGGCGUAAAGCGCACGCAGGCGGUCUGUCAAGUCAGAUGUGAAAUCCCCGGGCUUAACCUGGGAACUGCAUUUGAAACUGGCAGGCUAGAGUCUUGUAGAGGGGGGUAGAAUUCCAGGUGUAGCGGUGAAAUGCGUAGAGAUCUGGAGGAAUACCGGUGGCGAAGGCGGCCCCCUGGACAAAGACUGACGCUCAGGUGCGAAAGCGUGGGGAGCAAACAGGAUUAGAUACCCCGGUAGUCCCUGUCUCUUAUAC
rnacentral:rRNA from 1 species